CACCUCUCGGGAUUGCACCUGGAGAGUUUCCAGUCCUCUACCAGUCUUGACUAUGGGAGGGAGAGUCAAGCAGAGGCCUGUCCAUUCCAUUCCUAGCUUGGCCAGUGUCUAGCGAGUGGCAGACCAUCUGCUACAAGU
rfam:Ornithorhynchus anatinus chromosome 1, whole genome shotgun sequence.